AGUAGUUUGACUCCGUGGCUACGAGGACGACGCUGGCGGCACGCUUAACACAUGCAAGUCGAACGGAGUUAUUUUGAGUUUACUUAGAAUAACUUAGUGGCGGACGGGUGAGUAACACGUGAGCAACCUACCUUAGAGAGAGGGAUAGCUUCUGGAAACGGAUGGUAAUACCUCAUAACAUAAUGGUACCGCAUGAUACUAUUAUCAAAGAUUUAUCACUCUGAGAUGGGCUCGCGUCUGAUUAGCUAGAUGGUGAGGUAACGGCUCACCAUGGCGACGAUCAGUAGCCGGACUGAGAGGUUGAACGGCCACAUUGGGACUGAGACACGGCCCAGACUCC
rnacentral:rRNA from 1 species